GGUGGGAGGCCCGGCUCCCAUCUGUGUCCUCGGCUUCCUCUGCCACAUGGCAGCUGUCCCUCUGAGAGUCUGGUCCAUUCUUCGUCCGGCCACGCUGCCACCCCACACUCUGCCUGUUGUUGAGCCACAAUAGAUGAAGAAUAGCUGCACCCAUAAUCCCUCUGGGCUGGCUGCUGCUUUCUUCCUCCUCCUUUGGCCGGCUUUCGGGCCAAGAACAAAUUGUAAACAGGUUAUUAUGCUGCGCUGACACACUCCAACUGGAAGCAGCAGCCGACAGCGUUUAGUGAUGUAAAUGUGUCUUUAUCCGUCACGCAGACUUUCAUUUGGAGUAAAGUUCACUGCGUUCAGAGGGAAGAUGAAGCUGUAAUGAGUUUGGUGUUUUCUACUGGACAGAAUUAUUCACUUAAAAUCACUCACAGUGGGAAGUUUUUCUCCUUUCAGCAGAAAAUGUUUCAUCUGCUGUAGCUUCUUCACAAACCUGAAUAAAAUCACUUCAGUGACUCUAAACUAACCUCACAGUAAUCUGAUUACUGUCCUCUGAUGAAUAAUCAAACAAAUAUUUCAUAAAGACAAUAUUUCAGACAUAAGUAUAAACUCAGAGAACCAAAGAACCAGCUGUGAUUCCAACCAGUCCAACUGAUGAACAUGGUUCUAACAUGAACGUUCUCAGUUCUGGACCUAUGGACUGGGUCUAUCUAUGUCUGCAUCAUGGUCCACAUGGAGAAGAACUGAACAGAGGAAGAGAAACAUCUGAGGAGUCAUAGUUCCACUAAUCAGGAGGUCUAGAAGGAGUCAUAGUUCCACUGAUCAGGAGGUCUAGAAGGAGUCAUAGUUCCACUAAUCAGGAGGUCUAGAAGGAGUCAUAGUUCCACUAAUCAGGAGGUCUAGAAGGAGUCAUAGUUCCACUAAUCAGGAGGUCUAGAAGGAGUCAUAGUUCCACUGAUCAGGAGGUCUAGAAGGAGUCAUAGUUCCACUAAUCAGGAGGUCUAGAAGGAGUCAUAGUUCCACUAAUCAGGAGGUCUAGAAGGAGUCAUAGUUCCACUAAUCCGGAGGUCUAGAAGGAGUCAUAGUUCCACUAAUCAGGAGGUCUAGAAGGAGUCAUAGUUCCACUAAUCAGGAGGUCUAGAAGGAGUCAUAGUUCCACUAAUCAGGAGGUCUAGAAGGAGUCAUAGUUCCACUAAUCAGGAGGUCUAGAAGGAGUCAUAGUUCCACUAAUCAGGAGGUCUAGAAGGAGUCAUAGUUCCACUGAUCAGGAGGUCUAGAAGGAGUCAUAGUUCCACUAAUCAGGAGGUCUAGAAGGAGUCAUAGUUCCACUAAUCAGGAGGUCUAGAAGGAGUCAUAGUUCCACUAAUCAGGAGGUCUAGAAGGAGUCAUAGUUCCACUAAUCAGGAGGUCUAGAAGGAGUCAUAGUUCCACUGAUCAGGAGGUCUAGAAGGAGUCAUAGUUCCACUAAUCCGGAGGUCUAGAAGGAGUCAUAGUUCCACUAAUCAGGAGGUCUAGAAGGAGUCAUAGUUUAACUAAUCAGGAGGUCUAGAAGGAGUCAUAGUUCCACUAAUCAGGAGGUCUAGAAG